GGUAGCAUAAUCAUUAGUCUCCUAAUUAGAGGCUUGUAUGAAUGGUCGGACAAGAUGGGAACUGUCUCAAUAUAAAAAAUAAAAUUUAAUAAUUAAGUAAAAAAGCUUAAAUUAAACAGAGUGACGAUAAGACCCUAUAAAGCUUUAUAGUGUGCUUCUUUUAUAUAAAAUGAAUUUAAUAUUAACAUAUUAAAGAAAUCACAUUAUUUUACUGGGGCGGUAAAAGUAUAAAUGAUUAACUGCUUUUGUUAUGCAAAACAAUGAUAAUUGGUAUGUAAAUUGAUCCAUUAAUAAUGAUUAUAAAAACAAGUUACUUUAGGGAUAACAGCGUAAUUUUUCUUGAGAGUCCUUAUCGAAAGAAAAGUUUGCGACCUCGAUGUUGAAUUAAGGGCUACCUUAAGGUGCAGCAGUUUUAAAGGUAGAUCUGUUCGAUCUUUAAACCUUUACAUGAUUUG
rnacentral:rRNA from 1 species